GAAGCCGAGGAAAGAAGAUAGAUACGCUCAGAGCUGUAAGAGGUUGUAGGUUCCGUAGGAUUAAUAAUAUUACUUGUCCUAAAAGUUAAGCGGCAGGAGAUUUUUUUGUCAGUGUGAGACCUGUUAACGCGGGAGAGUGAGCUGGUUAAAUCGGCCACGGAGAUUCUACUGAAGUGGAGCUAACGCCAUAGCCACGUGCAGACUGCUAGUACAUAGCCAGAAACCUAUUUUUGUCGCUGAGUUUCUGAUGUGCGUCAGAUGCUGCUACCCAUGCUGCUGCAGUAGAUGUGCUCAGGACUUGCCGCUGCAGGGCGGAGGUGUCUGUGUUUUUGUGCAGGGACGGAGCCUCAGGACGGGUUUCUUCAUUGUGCAUCUCUCCACUGGACAGAAGGGUUCAGAAGGACUGUCACUAUAAGCUUUCUGUUACCAAGGAACCGUGAGUACAGAAAAUAUUUUUCUGGGAGGUUGCAGCUGAGCUCCAACAAGCGCGCCAACGUUGUGGUACCACAAACUGAGGAAAAAAACCCGGGUAUUGUUCUGUAAUUUCAUUUGGACCAUGGGGACAUUUUAAAAGGGCAACUCACCUGGUUCUGGAAAUGAACAUAAAUAUAUUUUUGUGUACAACA